GACGAACGCUGGCGGCGUGCUUAACACAUGCAAGUCGAACGGAAAGGCCCUGCUUUUGUGGGGUGCUCGAGUGGCGAAAGGGUGAGUAACACGUGAGUAACCUGCCCUUGACUUUGGGAUAACUUCAGGAAACUGGGGCUAAUACCGGAUAGGAGCUCCUGCUGCAUGGUGGGGGUUGGAAAGUUUCGGCGGUUGGGGAUGGACUCGCGGCUUAUCAGCUUGUUGGUGGGGUAGUGGCUUACCAAGGCUUUGACGGGUAGCCGGCCUGAGAGGGUGACCGGCCACAUUGGGACUGAGGUACGGCCCAGACGCCUACGGGAGGCAGCAGUGGGGAAUAUUGCACAAUGGGCGGAAGCCUGAUGCAGCAACGCCGCGUGCGGGAUGACGGCCUUCGGGUUGUAAACCGCUUUCGCCUGUGACGAAGCGUGAGUGACGGUAAUGGGUAAAGAAGCACCGGCUAACUACGUG
rnacentral:rRNA from 1 species